GACAGAGGGUGCAAACGUUGUUCGGAAUUACUGGGCGUAAAGCGUGUGUAGGCGGUCUGCUAAGUCGGGUGUGAAAGCCCUGGGCUCAACCCAGGAAGUGCACUCGAAACUGGCAGGCUAGAGUACUGGAGAGGUUGGUGGAAUUCUCGGUGUAGAGGUGAAAUUCGUAGAUAUCGAGAGGAACACCGGUGGCGAAGGCGGCCAACUGGACAGAUACUGACGCUGAGGAGCGAAAGCGUGGGGAGCGAACAGG
rnacentral:rRNA from 1 species